rnacentral:rRNA from 1 species
AUACAGAGGGUGCAAGCGUUAAUCGGAAUUACUGGGCGUAAAGCGAGCGUAGGUGGCUUGAUAAGUUCAGAUGUGAAAGCCCCGGGCUUAACCUGGGAACGGCAUCUGAUACUGUUAGGCUAGAGUAGGUGAGAGGAAGGUAGAAUUCCAGGUGUAGCGGUGAAAUGCGUAGAGAUCUGGAGGAAUACCGAUGGCGAAGGCAGCCUUCUGGCAUCAUACUGACACUGAGGUUCGAAAGCGUGGGUAGC